AGAGUUUGAUCCUGGCUCAGGAUGAACGCUGGCGGCGUGCUUAACACAUGCAAGUCGAACGAGCCUUCGGGCUAGUGGCGGACGGGUGAGUAACGCGUGAGAAUCUGCCCUCAGGAGGGGGAUAACGGCUGGAAACGGCCGCUAAUACCCCAUAUGCCGCGAGGUGAAAUGAGAAAUCGCCUGAGGAUGAGCUCGCGUCUGAUUAUCUAGUUGGUGGGGUAAGAGCCUACCAAGGCAUCGAUCAGUAGCUGGUCUGAGAGGAUGAUCAGCCACACUGGGACUGAGACACGGCCCAGACUCCUACGGGAGGCAGCAGUGGGGAAUUUUCCGCAAUGGGCGCAAGCCUGACGGAGCAACGCCGCGUGAGGGAUGAAGGCCUCUGGGCUGUAAACCUCUUUUCUCAAGGAAGAAGAACUGACGGUACUUGAGGAAUAAGCCACGGCUAAUUCCGUGCCAGCAGCCGCGGUAAUACGGGAGUGGCAAGCGUUAUCCGGAAUUAUUGGGCGUAAAGCGUCCGCAGGCGGUCUUGAAAGUCUGUUGUUAAAGCGUGGAGCUCAACUCCAUUUCAGCAAUGGAAACUAGAAGACUAGAGUGUGGUAGGGGCAGAGGGAAUUCCCGGUGUAGCGGUGAAAUGCGUAGAUAUCGGGAAGAACACCAGUGGCGAAGGCGCUCUGCUGGGCCAUAACUGACGCUCAUGGACGAAAGCCAGGGGAGCGAAAGGGAUUAGAUACCCCUGUAGUCCUGGCCGUAAACGAUGAACACUAGGUGUCGGGGGAAUCGACCCCCUCGGUGUCGUAGCCAACGCGUUAAGUGUUCCGCCUGGGGAGUACGCACGCAAGUGUGAAACUCAAAGGAAUUGACGGGGGCCCGCACAAGCGGUGGAGUAUGUGGUUUAAUUCGAUGCAACGCGAAGAACCUUACCAGGGUUUGACAUCCUGCGAAUCUUUUGGAAACAGAAGAGUGCCUUCGGGAGCGCAGAGACAGGUGGUGCAUGGCUGUCGUCAGCUCGUGUCGUGAGAUGUUGGGUUAAGUCCCGCAACGAGCGCAACCCACGUCUUUAGUUGCCAGCAUUAAGUUGGGCACUCUAGAGAGACCGCCGGUGAUAAACCGGAGGAAGGUGUGGAUGACGUCAAGUCAUCAUGCCCCUUACAUCCUGGGCUACACACGUACUACAAUGCUACGGACAGAGGGCAGCAAACUCGCGAGAGCUAGCAAAUCCCAUAAACCGUGGCUCAGUUCAGAUCGUAGGCUGCAACUCGCCUACGUGAAGGAGGAAUCGCUAGUAAUCGCAGGUCAGCAUACUGCGGUGAAUACGUUCCCGGGCCUUGUACACACCGCCCGUCACACCAUGGAAGUUGGCCAUGCCCGAAGUCGUUACUCCAACCCUUGUGGAGGAGGACGCCGAAGGUGGGGCUGAUGACUGGGGUGAAGUCGUAACAAGGUA
rnacentral:rRNA from 1 species